ACCGGCAAACAAAAAAUCUACUUUCACCCCUGGUAAUAAAGUUUAAAAAAAAAAUGGCGCAAAAAGGAAGUCACGUAAUACAUGUGCGCGUGAUUGGGGCGUGGUUAGGUAAAGGGGAUUGGGUAGCGACAGCGACAGCUCCAGUUCAAUCUUGACGUCCAUCUUGGCCUUGAACGGCUCCAGCAGGGGGCGUAUUUCUUCAGACAAGAAUCUGGUAACCUGCAGGAGAAGAAGAGCCUUCAGUGGUUUCAUGAAAGCAGGGAGCUGUAAACAAACGAGCAGAAGUCCUCCUUCACCUGCUGAGGGGCGUGCCCAAUGAAGGUCUUGGGAUCCAGCAGGGCGUCCAGCUGCCCCAGGAUGGGGGCGAAGUACGGGUCUCUCUGGACUCUGGCCAGCAGGUCAUUGUCUCCGCCCUCCUGUUUGACCACCGCCGCCGCCUCCUGGGAGAGAACGCGGAUCUUCUCGUGGCAGUCCUGGAGGUCCGAGGAGAAGGAUGAGCUGCACCCGCCGGCUGGUCCAACGACAGUGAAGGUUAAACCGUACCUGUCUGUUUCCUCCAGCCUGAACCAUGGCCAUGAUGAUGUUCUCUGUGGCCAUGAAGGGCAGCUCGUGGCGGAUGUGCCUCUCGAUGACCUUUGGAUAGACCACGAGACCCUCUGUGAUGUUCUGCAGGGUGCUGAGGAUGAUGUCUGCAGUCAGGAACGACUCGGGCAGAGAAAUCCUCCUGAAAGGUUGGCCAGCAGACGGAUAUCUGUGCAGAUCUAUGAGGGAGAGCAGAGACGGGUGCACUACCGCCAAACACCACUAGAUGGAGACAUUUCCUGCUGCUUACCUCGUGCACAGAAGCUCCUAAACUGGCCAGAUUGGACAGACAGUCGACAUCCACCUUUCGGUUGUAGGUCUGUCCAGUCACCAGGUAUGCUCUGAACGAAGAGGAACAGUUUUCUUUAAAAACACUAAAGUGAAUUUAAUGCAUUAACUGAGAGAUGAAAUAAAAAAAAAACUCACUUUUUGAAGCCCGCCAUCUCUGUCAC
rnacentral:lncRNA from 1 species